GACGAACGCUGGCGGCGUGCUUAAUACAUGCAAGUCGAACGGAAAGGCCCUGCAUUUGUGGGGUGCCCGAGUGGCGAACGGGUGAGUAACACGUGAGUAACCUGCCCUUGACUCUGGGAAAACUUCAGGAAACUGGGGCUAAUACCGGAUAGGAGCUCCCGCUGCAUGGUGGGGGGUGGAAAGUUUCGGCGGUUGGGGAUGGUCUCGCGGCUUAUCAGCUUGUUGGUGGGGUAGUGGCGGACCAAGGCGUUGCCGGGUAGCCGGACUGAGAGGGUGACCGGCCACAGUGGGACUGGGGAAGGGGCCAGAGUGAUACGGGGGGCAGGGGUGGAAAACAUUGCACAAUGGGCGGAGGCAUGAUGCAGCAACGCCGGGUGCGGGAUGACGGCCUUCGGGUUGUAAACCGCUUGCGCGUGUGACGAAGAGUGAGUGACGGUAACGGGUAAGGAAGCACCGGCUAACUACGUG
rnacentral:rRNA from 1 species